UAUUUGGGGAAGAGGAAAGAAAUUGAUAUUGAAAGUGAAACGCCCAAUGCAUCAUUUCUCAAUACAAGUUCACGCUUUCGGUUCAUCUUCAAUUUCAUCAUCAAUUUCUCUUUUCUUCUCAUCUUCAAUUUUGUCUUCUCCACUUAAAACAUCUUCUUUUCCACUAAACAAAACAUCAACUUCUCCGAUGCAAUCGGUACUUGAACCAACAAUUUCUCUUUUCCCUAACCUGAGGAAGCACAUCAUCAAUUUCAUCGAUUGGAUUUCCAUGUAAUUAUUUUGUGGUGUUGAUGUGCUUAAGAUUGGAGGAGCCAAUGAAGCUGAAGUUGGUGACAAAAAUGAUACAGUAACAGAAAUUGAAGAAGAUUAAGGACUCGAGUUAGGCAGAGCAGGGAAUUGGAAGGGCUGGCGGGGAAAAUGCGAGAGAGUAAAGGAUCUGUGCUGAAAAUGUAUGAACCAGAAGAGGAAAAAUACACAGUGUUCAAAGAAGGUAUCAAAAGAUUGCUAUGAAGGAGCUAAGAGAGCGGAAAAUUCCUUUUACCAUCUUCUGGAUUGAUUUGUGCGACUGUUUUGUUGUUCGUGUUGUGAAUUAAACAAGUUAUAGAUCAGUUCCACUUUAUAGAAAAAAAUGCAGGCUACUUCGGAAUUAUCGAUUUAUAGACACGUCAAGGAGAGGAAUGGACAAACUUCAUCUGUGUGGCUUACAUGGUUGAAACAAGGAUCACGGUGGCUGGUGUUGGAGGGGAUCAGUCGCGGUUUGAUGCAAAUAUGAAGGGUGUCGCGAUUUGGUAGAAGCUCUUGGUGGCGUCAAAGUUUAUGAGAGGUGCAGUUGGGAUUUAAUCUGCGGCGGUGAUUCUGACUGAGAUCAUGAUGCAAAUUUGGAUGCAAGGAUAUUUUACUGUAGAAAAGCGAAAAGAAGAUACUUUUUUAAGGGAUAUUGUGUUUCUGCCGGUGUCGGAGCUACUCCUUAACCCUCCAAAUCCCAGGCUGAUAAAAGAGAGACCUUGAAGGCGUCGUACAUUCAUUAUGUCUUUGAAACGAGUUUAACACAGGUUUUUUCUUUUUCGUGUAUUUGUUUUUGUUACAGAGAGAAACAAUUGUUUUGAAAUUGAUUGUUUUGUUAGUCUGUCCACAAAGUGUUUAUUGAAUAGUAUGAACCAAAGCUGUAUGAACCAGACCUGGUGUGAGCAGCAAAUUCUAUCUGAGUGACUAAUAGGUGCUUUGUCGGGAGACUUAGUACUUAUUGGAUGUACAGCCUGAAUACAGAUUCAUAUACUCUGUCGGGAGCUAAGUAUGUGUAUGAAGUGUCCAUGGUCUGAUUUGAACUAUGCAUCAAUUAUAGUUCUGUGUUAUCUUCAAUUAAGCAUUAAGAAAGGCAAUGGUUGGCUGGUGAGUUGAUUCAAGAAGAAGAAACAUAUAGGAAAUGGUGAGUAUCUUGAUGGGAGCUGGAUAUUUACAUCAACUAUGUGGAAGAAGAAGAAGAAGAAGAUGUAUGUGAUGCUUUGUUUUGUAUGUUACAUCACAACACUUGAAGACACCAGUAAAGAUUAGGUUCAGACCUAUCUGUUGAAGAUAUGUUCAAGAGCUAUUUAGAAGUUUCUUCUAUUUCAAGGUACAUGAAGUGGCAGUCUGGAUCUUGUGUAGCAAGCAAACUAAGGAUUCCAAAUUUGGAAAGUGUGGCAGUUCCAAAUGAAGAAUGCUUCAGGUUAAGGACAAUUAUUCAAAACAUCCUUAUGUUGUAAUUCUCAGGGGGAUUAUGAAGUAUGACAAGACAUCAAUCAGUGUAGGUGGUGGAACACUCAGAGAUAUUGAUGAGAUUUCAAGUCUGAUAAACUAAUGUCUUGUGUGAUGUCACAACAUCACUAUAUCUUGUUGGUUUGGAAAAUUAUCUAGAAUCUAGCAUGUGAAGGAUGAAGAAGCAACAUUAAGUCUGAAGUGACCGUUCUAACUUAAUGUGGAUUAGAAUGAGCAGAUUCUGAUCUGGGUGAUGGUAACAUGUUCUGGCAAUUCGUGUUUACUUUCAUGAUGAAGACUUCAGUAGUGAGUAUGACUAUGAAGACAGAAGUUUGGUGAGAUGAUCAACAUAGUUGUGGAUAAAAAGGAUUCUUCUAAUUCUAAUUGGAGAGUAUGUUAAUCAUUAUGAGAAACAUCAUAUCAAGGAGGAUUUCAAAUUAUCUUGGCAGACCAUGAUCAGAGUGCAACUUGGUAGGGUUAUGAUCAACAAGUGGAAGAAGUGGCAGUUCUUUAUGUUGAGUCUGUGGCAACCUUUCUAUGGAAGCAUCAAGUGUCAAAGGGUUAUUUGUUGAUUAUUUCAGGUGGAGAUAAGGUGGUAGUCUUGAAUCUGUUGAAGAAAGAGAAGUGGAGUUAGUUGAAUGUACUGAACUGUUCAACUGUAUCUUAAUGUUAUACAAGAUGUUAUAACAUCUAAAUUAUGAUGUGAGUAUCUUUUGUAAAGGAGUUACUUUGUAAUAGUGAAGUGUGUCAGCUAGUUAGUUGGGCAGAGGGUGCGCUCUUGAAGAUAUGAAGAUGCGUCUUAUAUUUUCCAUUCAUCAUUACAAGUUUUCCUGUAUGAAGCACAAAUUAUCUCAGAUAGGGGGAGUGUCUUCUUAGUUCAAGAUAUAAUUCUAGAAAAUUAUCUUGGUCUGUUAUACUCUAUCAUCAUAAUGAAGGUGGUCCAAGUCAGCAGGAGCUUUUUCAACUUAGUUAGAGGAAGUUUCUUAUGAAAAGGUUUAUUUAACAAGAUGUAUCAUUACAGUCAGUUUUUUUGGGAAUGGUUGAAUCUAACCAUGUGCGUCUGGUAUCCACAAAUCUUGAACUGUUCUAGUGGCUGCAUGUCAACAAGUGUUGGAAGGCUCUUCACAGUUGCAGUAUACAGUCUCAAGGUGAUCAGAACAACAGAAGUCUAUGACUAGUGAGUCAGUAAAGGAGUAGGAGGUCUAUUACGUGGUUCAUAGGAUGCUUUGUCAAAGUCUCUUAAAGAAUCUUAAGCUAUGUGCUUGAGGGGUGAAAGAGGGACAAUGUCUGACAGGAUGUCAUGACAUAGUUAAAGACAUUGAUUCUGCAGAGUCAAACAAGGAAAAACUGCUUUGGAAAGAGUAAUUGCUUUUAGAACUGUUUCCUAAUUAAUAGUUUGACCAUUGAACAAGACCA